rnacentral:rRNA from 1 species
AACGAUGUCUACUAGUCGUUGGGGAACCUGAUUCCUUAGUGACGCAGCUAACGCAAUAAGUAGACCGCCUGGGGAGUACGGCCGCAAGGUUAAAACUCAAAUGAAUNGNCGGGGGCCCGCACCAGCGGUGGAGCAUGUGGUUUANUUNGAUGCAACGCGAAGAACCUUACCUGGUCUUGACAUAUCUAGAAUCCUGCAGAGAUGCGGGAGUGCCUUCGGGAAUUAGAAUACAGGUGCUGCAUGGCUGUCGUCAGCUNGUGUCGUGAGAUGUUGGGUUAAGUCCCGCAACGAGCGCAACCCUUGUCCUUAGUUACCAGCGGGUUAAGCCGGGAACUCUAAGGAUACUGCCAGUGACAAACUGGAGGAAGGCGGGGANGACGUCAAGUCAUCAUGGCCCUUACGACCAGGGCUACACACNUGCUACAAUGGUAGGUACAGAGGGCAGCUACACAGCGAUGUGAUGCGAAUCUCAAAAAGCCUAUCGUAGUCCAGAUUGGAGUNUGCAACUCGACUCCAUGAAGUAGGAAUCGCUAGUAAUCGCGGAUCAGAAUGCCGCGGUGAAUACGUUCCCGGGCCUUGUACACACCGCCCGUCACACCAUGGGAGUUGANUGCACCAGAAGUGGUUAGCCGAACC